rnacentral:rRNA from 1 species
CCUACGGGCGGCUGCAGUGGGGAAUAUUGCACAAUGGGCGCAAGCCUGAUGCAGCCAUGCCGCGUGUGUGAAGAAGGCCUUCGGGUUGUAAAGCACUUUCAGCGGGGAGGAAGGCGGUGAGGUUAAUAACCUCAUCGAUUGACGUUACCCGCAGAAGAAGCACCGGCUAACUCCGUGCCAGCAGCCGCGGUAAUACGGAGGGUGCAAGCGUUAAUCGGAACUACUGGGCGUAAAGCGCACGCAGGCGGUCUGUCAAGUCGGAUGUGAAAUCCCCGGGCUCAACCUGGGAACUGCAUUCGAAACUGGCAGGCUAGAGUCUUGUAGAGGGGGGUAGAAUUCCAGGUGUAGCGGUGAAAUGCGUAGAGAUCUGGAGGAAUACCGGUGGCGAAGGCGGCCCCCUGGACAAAGACUGACGCUCAGGUGCGAAAGCGUGGGGAGCAAACAGGAUUAGAUACCCGAGUAGUC